rnacentral:tRNA from 1 species
GGUGAGGUGGCGGAGUGGUUACGCAGCAGUUUGCAAAACUGUACCACACGGGUUCGAAUCCCGUCCUCACCUCCA